UUAAAUUGAAGAGUUUGAUCAUGGCUCAGAUUGAACGCUGGCGGCAGGCCUAACACAUGCAAGUCGAACGGUAACAGGAAGCAGCUUGCUGCUUUGCUGACGAGUGGCGGACGGGUGAGUAAUGUCUGGGAAACUGCCUGAUGGAGGGGGAUAACUACUGGAAACGGUAGCUAAUACCGCAUAACGUCGCAAGACCAAAGAGGGGGACCUUAGGGCCUCUUGCCAUCGGAUGUGCCCAGAUGGGAUUAGCUAGUAGGUGGGGUAACUGCUCACCUAGGCGACGAUCCCUAGCUGGUCUGAGAGGAUGACCAGCCACACUGGAACUGAGACACGGUCCAGACUCCUACGGGAGGCAGCAGUGGGGAAUAUUGCACAAUGGGCGCAAGCCUGAUGCAGCCAUGCCGCGUGUAUGAAGAAG
rnacentral:rRNA from 1 species